AGGUAUAAACGAUGCCCCCCAUAGGGGGUCUCACAACGAUCUGAGCCUCGUGUCCGUUGGAUCUUACCGGAUGGUGAAUCCUGACCGUUAUUUUUUUUCACCGCACCAUAUAAAAACGAGCCCUCAGUAGAAAACCCUAGCCACAAUCCUCUUUUUCCCCUCACGCUCGCGCCCGCCGCCAACCAGCUGCCCUCACGCGGCUCCUCCUCCAAUCCCCUGCUGCGCCUCCUCCUCCAAUCCUCCCGCUCCUCCUCCCCCAAUCCUCUUCCAAUGGCAGCCGGCCACCAGCCGGAGGUUGGAACAUCAGCACAAGGGAUGUUGACUUCCGGCAGGGCAGAGCAUGGCCGGCCAGACCAUGGUGAAAACCCUAGCCGCGCCCAGCGAAUCCCGGCACGCGAGAUCCUCUCCAAUCCUCUUCUUCGCUACACCCCCAAUCCCCUUCGUCCCCGUGCCGCCGCCAUGGUCCUUCGCCUCCUUUUUCCACCACAGUGCCCCUCUGUCCUCCGGCCUGCCUCCUCUCUAGUGCUCAGCGGGAGGAGCACGAGAUGCCACCAGGGGCGCUCAGCGAGACGAGCACAUGGCACAGCAGCCAAGGUGAGCACCUCCUUCCCGUCCCAUGCAUCCUUGCGUGUGAUAAUCGGGAGGAAGAGGAUGAGCCACGGAAGGGGAAGGAGCGGGGAGCUGAGGGGAGGAAUAGGAGACCCCCAGCAGGGUGCUGCGUCUUCCAUCAACACAUGGGAAAACCGCAUCCUUGGCGUCCCGUUCCAUGCCUGCAAGCUGCAGCUAAUGCCCUUCCCGAUCUACACAUCUUACAUUCUACAAUAGCAUAUUGCCCAAGGUUAUAACCUCUUGCACAGUUUGGUCUGUUGUAAUCUUGCUUUGUUGGUUGUUUUUGUUCUUCUAAGCAAAGUGAAGUGGUGAUUAGGAGAAAAAAUCUUGUUUGCAAGUCACCUUUUGCAGAAGAAAAUAAUUGUUUUGUACCAAAUUCUUCCGGUUAUAUUUUCAAGUAUUCAUAUUCUGCUUCACCAUUACACGUUUGCACUCCUGCUGUUGCAUGUAGCAUAAUAAAUUCAUAAUAUUAGCAUGCGUGCCAUGUCCAUGUUCUUCCAGCAGGUACAGAUUGUGUGGUGGCAUGUUGAUUUAGCUUAUUAUUUGAUCAAGCCCGGCCUCCUUUGCGCCCUCUUCAUCAUGCACAAUGGCUCAUAGGCCAUUUGGUUCGUGGUGUGUGCCAAUUGUAUGAUUCAGAAAUUAAUGGAAUAUUAAGCUCUUGGUGGAUGACCUUCUCAAUCCUUCAGGGUACAACUUUUAGACAAAAUCAACAAGCAAUGUCUGCUAUCAUGGAUACAAACUUGCUAAUAUUGAAGAAGUUCCAGUUUGGUAGAUAUUUUGGCACUUCAGCUGUUGUGUAGACCUUUUCAGCCAAGCGAAUAUUUUGAAUAUAUGUGCACAUAAGUUGACCAGAUCAAUCAUGAUAGAGGGAGUAAAUCAACCAGCAUAGGAUCUACUUUGGGUGGACUGAUGGGCAGAGUUCAGCAGCCAAUAGCUAAUCAUCAACCCAGAAUGCUCUUGGGUACAACGGCAUUAAUACUCUUGAAAGUGUUAAAGAAUGCAUGAGUAUGUAGUUGACAAGAUUUUUCCCCUGGCCUUGGAUUUCGCCUUCCUGGUGAGCGCGGCGAGGGCAACCACAGGGGAGGUGACAUUGGAGUCGUCACCUCCGGUCAAGUUGUACGGGGACCAGGAAGCGAGGAUAUGCUGCGAUGGCCUUGAAGAGCUACGUGUGAGUUCGGUCAGGGGAAGACCGACGCGAGUUUGGAAUAGAGACAGCGGCCAGUGAGCUGGACUCCCGUUUUCCAAGACAUUUGAGAGGAGGUGUUUGAGAAUAAUCCAAGGAGGUUGCACAACAUAAUAAAUCCAUGUGAUACUUGAAUCUGCAAGCUCUAGAUG